ensembl:piRNA 21ur-14298 ncRNA
UUCUUUCGGUACAUUCUUUAU